rnacentral:rRNA from 1 species
CAUAAACAGUAAUUUGGUAAUCUUAGUAUUAAUAGUUAUGAUCUUUAAAUUAAAAGAAUUUGGCGGUAAUUUAGUCUGUUCAGAGGAAUCUGCCCUGUAAUCGAUGUUCCACGGUAAAUUUUACUUUAUCUGGGCUUGUAUAUCUCUGUCAUUGAAUGUCCUAUUAGGGUAUUUUCUUUAAUUUUUAAUGUGCAAAAUGUCAGGUCAAGGUGCAGCAAUGGUAAAGAAGAGGUGGAUUACAUUAAAUAUAUUUAUGGAUAGUGAAUAUGAAAAUUUUCUGGAAAUUGGAUUUGAAAGUAAUUUCUAUUAGAAUAUAGAUUUGAUUUUAGCUCUAAAUUAUGC